AAUGAUGAUGGUGGUAACAAAACAACAAUGACUCCCAUUUCUAGAGUGACUACAUUUUCUAGGGCUUUUCCUCCCAUGAGCCCUGUGGAAUAGGUAACCGAAGCUAGAAACUGGAGAUACUGAACAAUCACUCUUGAAUGCAGAGAUGUCAUCCUGGGAACACAUACAUGUUCCCUGAGCACGUGAUUUACAGGAAAUACAAAAACUGAGGGAUGAGGAAACUGAGACCUUCUUACCAGCCUUUCAUGGCAUCUCUUGUGAAAAAAGGACUCCAUGAACUAUAAAGCAGAAUCAUCAUCUUCAUCACCAUUGUGAUCAUCACCAUCUUCAUUGUUGCCAUCAUCAUCAUCACCACCAUCAUCACCAUCUUUGUUAUCAUCAUUACACAAUCAAUCCAAACGAUUUGCUAAAUUAUCCACCACAUGGCAGCUGUUACCACUCGUCUCAUUGUUUGACCUUGGCCAAUUGAAAUGACUUCUCUGUGCUGACAAGACAAGAGGAGCUCCCUCUGCCCACCCUGAGGCUAUGAAGAUACGUGAGCUAAGAAGCCCUGGCCUUUGAACUCUAGCUGGAAAAAUGAUGACAGGAAUGUGGGGUGUUUCCACCCAUCCCAAGAAGCUAUCACGUAAGUGUCUGGAGCCUUUAUCUCUGGGAACACUCUGGGAAGUCCCAGCUAGCAGAGGUGAAAUUGGCUGCCCUUUUGCUGGCUUCCAAAACUGCUUUUCCAGAUAGUAACAGUAAUGCACCAUGUCAGAUACCUCUCAGGAGCAGAUAAAGUCCUCUCUUCCACCUCCCACCAGUGGCCUCGCUGUCCAUGGCACCAGUAAGUGGAGAACUUUUAGUUGCUAAGAAAGGCAUAUCAUCCAAGGACAAGAAGCUCUGUCCUAUGCUCUGAUCAGAUUUCAUCUAGGUUAUUGGGUUUGGUUUUAUCCUUAGGGAGGAAAAUGGACUGUGUCCAGAGCCAUCUGGGGAAGUCGUAAUAUAUGAGGAUGAGCCGAAGGAGCUCAUAGGAAGAAAGACAGAGAGGACACAACGGCCAUCUUCAAACCCUUCUCUGACAAAGCUUUGGUGCCUCUUGGGGAGUCGCUGAAUUUCCCUGAGCAGCAGUUUCUACAUCUUAAAAUAAGGAUCUGAUUUCAUUUCA